rnacentral:rRNA from 1 species
UACGAAGGGGGCUAGCGUUGUUCGGAAUUACUGGGCGUAAAGCGCACGUAGGCGGACAUUUAAGUCAGGGGUGAAAUCCCGGAGCUCAACUCCGGAACUGCCUUUGAUACUGGGUGUCUUGAGUGUGGAAGAGGUGAGUGGAAUUCCGAGUGUAGAGGUGAAAUUCGUAGAUAUUAGGAAGAACACCAGUGGCGAAGGCGGCUCACUGGCCCGGUACUGACGCUGAGGCGCGAAAGCGUGGGGAGCAAACAGG